rnacentral:lncRNA from 1 species
CAGCCUUUUCUACAUACUAUGGCCUUCUGUAUUCCUCACACAAUUCACUUCCAACAAGCACCAUACAUCUUAAGCAACACCCUCUUUCAAACCUGGUACAAAACAUACUUUACUUUCUCCCUUUGGUUAUCAAUAUAGCAAGGCACUGUUCGCCUGUGUUACCAUGAGUGUUGUCAUAACACAAUCAGACUGCUCAAGUAAAACCGCAUGCUGUUGAAGUACUAAUGAAAGACUGUUUAAAAAGGCACCAAUAUAGAACCAUUGCACGUUGUUUAGGGACCUCAUCUGGUCCUAUGAAAAGUGAAGGAUAAUAACUUAUUCAGAGACCAACUAAGGGGCUUCCACUAGCAAAACAAAAACACUUUCAUAACCAUAAUACAUAUUAGUUAUAAUAUUUUUAUUAAAAACAAUGAAUAUCCAAAAUGUUAGGACUAAAGCAGACUAGAAGUUGAGGCAACGAGAAUUUCAUUAAGAACUUAACAGUGCUCUGCAAGGUAAGGUUGUCAGUGCACUGUAACAGCAAGACACAUAGAAUCUAAAAUCUAAAAGUAAUAAACAUACCCACACUGUGGGUGGUUACUUGUUUGUGAUGAAGCCACGGUUAUACAGUCAGUGAAUGGACACCAAUACUGUACAAUGCGGCUAGUGAAGAUGUGUCAGCUGUUUUACAGAAAACAUGUAAUAAACCCCAAUGAAACAAUAAUUACAAGAUGUGACCAAGUUUGGAAUCGAAAGGGUUAGAAUGAAAAUAUUAUUUUCAGAGAUUGUGGUAGAAUGAAUUUACAGGUUUAUAAGCUUGUUAACAACAGUUGAAGCUAAUUUACAAAUGGUACUGUAGUCUUUCACCUUACAAUAAACAGUCUGAUCUUGUCCUUACAACCAAGCGCUUCAAUAACCCUUUGGAAAUGUUACCAAAAGUAAAGCCUAAAUGCUCAUUUUUACUCUGUAGGUUUCAUUCAACCUUUUGACAGACCAUGCACUUGAACACUUGGUCACUCAGAUUUUUGUUGUUGUUGCAAAACAGCACAUUUCAUACCAUUUAAUUGAAAUAUAGUCUUCCAGCAGGAGUUUUUUGAAGCAACAUGUCCUUCACACAUUUGGCUAAUAUUAUGUCUGCAAUGAAUGAAUGCACCAAUGAGCCUUUACAACAGUAUGAUGCCAAAUAGUCAAAUGGCAAAAGAGAUGUAAUAUUUUUUAACAAGUUAAUGUUCACAUACAGGGAUGUACAUUGUUGUCUCCAAGUACAGGAAAUAGCCAUCAUGUGAUACGCAUGUGUCACGUCAUCUAAUCUCUUCUGUCUUGUUAAAUUCUCCUCUUCCAGCACUGUAUAUAUAAAGUUAUUUCUUUGAAAGAGACAGCUGAGUUGAAGAGUUGCUCCUUUUGGGAGGGAGAUCUGGACAGUGUGUGUGUGUGUGUGUGUGUGUGUGUGUGUGUGUGUGUGUGUGUGUGUUUGUCUAGGUUGGGGAUGGCAGUGACCAUUUCCAUGAUUUGCCAGGGUAAAGUCAUGGAGUACUUUGGGGGCAAUGGAGGCAGUGAAAGAGGAGUUAGCUGUGAAACCUUUGCUCUCAACUGUCUGAGCUCUCCCCCCUCUCUUUCUCCCCCUCCACAUCAUCAUAUAUUCUUCAUUAGAAACAAGGUAGCUACACAACAACACAAAAUGUAAAUGUUACCAUUGUUAACAAGAGUAAUCAUGUUAAAAGUUGUAAGAAUAAUAAUAUCAGAAAUCCGUCCCUAAUGGCGUCUGGCGCUCUUGGCGGACCCCUACCCCCGAAGGCUUAGCAAUGGUUUAACACUUGUGCUUCAUGGCCAGCU